rnacentral:lncRNA from 1 species
AACUUUAUAAGUUAAAUGAUAGAAAAAUUCAUAUUAAAUUAAAUCAAUUGACAUGUGGCCACUAAAUACAAGCGCACCUUCUGCAUUAGUGACGCGUGUCGUCCAACGAUAGCACCACCUGUUGUUUUCUUACUUUUUGUUGUUUAUCUUCAAAAAUUCAUAAAACAAAUUAAAUAAAAAUAAAAAUAAUAUAACAAAAAAAGCUACACACUCCUUAUCACAAACCCUUUUAUUUUAGAGGUCUGAAAUCAUGAUUCCACGUUUUGAGUUCAUGGUAAUCAUUGGAUCAAGAAACAAAAGUGUUAGGUUAUAGAACAUUAACUUGGAUUUUGGUUUGUUUAAAAACUAAUUUGAGUUUUG